rnacentral:siRNA from 1 species
UCGCCAAACCGUCAGCAAGUCGA